UACGUAGGGACCGAGCGUUGUCCGGAAUCAUUGGGCGUAAAGAGCGUGUAGGCGGCCACUUAAGUCCUGCGUGAAAUCUUGCGGCUCAACCGCAAGCGGUCGUGGGAAACUGGGUGGCUAGGGUGCGGGAGAGGAGAGUGGAAUUCCUGAUGUAGCGGUGGAAUGCGCAGAUAUCAGGAAGAACACCCGUGGCGAAGGCGGGUCUCUGGGCCGUAACUGACGCUGAGGAGCGAAAGCGUGGGGAGCGAACAGG
rnacentral:rRNA from 1 species